rnacentral:rRNA from 1 species
UACGUAGGGUGCAAGCGUUGUCCGGAAUUAUUGGGCGUAAAGAGCUCGUAGGCGGUUUGUCGCGUCUGCUGUGAAAACUCGGGGCUUAACCCCGGGCCUGCAGUGGGUACGGGCAGACUAGAGUGCGGUAGGGGAGACUGGAAUUCCUGGUGUAGCGGUGAAAUGCGCAGAUAUCAGGAGGAACACCGGUGGCGAAGGCGGGUCUCUGGGCCGAUACUGACGCUGAGGAGCGAAAGCGUGGGGGAGCGAACAGG